GGUGGUAGCUCAGUGGUUAAGCUACUGGACUAUUGAUCAAAAGGUCAUGAAUUCAAAUCCCAGCAUCACCA